rnacentral:misc_RNA from 1 species
UAUAAAUGUAAAUAAUUGUUUUAUUUCAAUUUAGUAUAAGUAAAGAAAUAAUAUUGAAAUAUGUGCAAUGGAAGGUGGUUUGGAGAAGAAUUUUCAGUGGCUCGUUGUGUUACAUUUAUUGUUGAUACUCUACUCAUGUUUGGAGGUGUUGUGAUAUUCAUGAGUGGUAAACUAGUACGAGAAGAAAUAGCGAGCAAAUCAAGUUUCGUAAAUAACGUCUUGCGUCUUCUUCCCUUAUGUGUCAUGGUUAUCGGUGGUGCAAUUUCCAUCCUGUCUUUUCUAUCAAAUUGUGCAGCUUGUUGCAGAAAUGCGUGCUGCAUAAUAACGAUUAGUAUAAUUCUUUCUUGGCUGUUAAUUGUACAGAUUUCGAUAGGAAUCGCAUUGGUUAGAAAUAAAGAGAAGAUUUAUUAUAUAAUUGCUGAGAAAAUGCACGAAUCGAUGAAAAAUUAUUCGAAAGAUAACACAACCAAACACGAAUGGGAUAAAUUUCAAUCAACCAAAGCGUGUUGUGGAGUUGAAACUUUAACCGAUUGGUUAUUGGCUUUAAGGACUAUGAUUUUACCAGAAUCGUGUUGUUAUGGCUUUGAAAAAAGUAUUUCAACAAGGAUGCUACAAUAGAUUGUUGUUUUAUGUGGAUAUAGCAAUAUAUAUGUACGUCGUAACGAAUUCUAUAGUAGGUCUACUUGAGCUAGAGGUUGUUAUAUACGGAAUAUUUUACGUUCGAG